rnacentral:tRNA from 1 species
GGGGUUGUAGCUCAGUGGUAGAGCAUUUGCCUCGCAUGCAUGAGGCCCAGGGUUCAAUCCUCAGUACCA